AUGAGGCAACAACAGACAGUGGCUAGUGGACAACAAACACAUAGCAAACAACAACUACAAAAAUAUUCCACCAAUUUUUCUUUGUAUCUGCAACCUGGCUUUUCCUUAGGAGAGACCACACUAGAACAUGAACAAUCCUUGUCUCUUGCAUUCACAGAGCAGUGUUUCUUUUUCCUGUUUCCUUUGUCCUCAAGAACAUGUUUGUUCCCCAUUUGA